ensembl:lncRNA novel transcript
UACAACCAGAAAGUUGCCUAUAGAUGAUUCAGCUAGAAGACACCAACUAGUGUGACCAACAAGGCAACUUAGUGCUACGUGGGAAGUCAGAGAGAAAUAAAUAUGCUUUUUUGAACCUGGCCGUUCAUACAACCUAGAGGAAACGUAACACAGGAAAAGCAGCAUUGAAACUCAGAAUCCAGAUUUAAGUCUCAAUUAACUCACUGGUUUUGGUUUUAGCCCUGAAAACCAAUCAUCUUGGUGUUAGCACUGAAAGUCAUGUGUUCCAGGAAACCCCUAAGUUCCAGGACUUGACCUCUUGCCCACCAGAUAACUCUUGUUAAAACAGAUUUCAAGUCAUAAUCUCUCCUGAAGACUCUUGAUUCAUUGUCAUGCAUCCCCUGGUACUAUUAUACACAUCCAUUAUAAGAAGAAAGCUAACAGAAAAUAUGCUUCCUUGCCAGAGUAUACUACUAAGUUGGAAUCACAGCAGUAUUUUCUUCUAUGAACUCUAUAGCUUAGCUUAUUAAUAUGCUGAUGAAGUCAUUAGCAGUUUCAAUAUUUGCAAUGAAAUCAAUUUGGUUAUACUCAUAAUAAAUUAAAAUUAAAAUA